UAAGCUUCUCAGUCUUUUGGCUAAGAUCAAGUGUGGUAUCUGUUCCUAUCAGGAACACCUUUGGACGCAGCAAGCAUUGUUAAACUUUAAAACUCAUUAUUAUGUCUUCCAUAACAGCCAUUUUACUAUUAGUAAUUAGUUUUGGCUGCUUACAAGAAUUUUUAGACUUGUAACCAUUUUGAAAAAAUUUUUAGGAAAA